GUGACUGCGUACCUUUUGUAUAAUGGGUCAGCGACUUAUAUUCUGUAGCAAGGUUAACCGAAUAGGGGAGCCGUAGGGAAACCGAGUCUUAAUUGGGCGUUAAGUUGCAGGGUAUAGACCCGAAACCCGGUGAUCUAGCCAUGGGCAGGUUGAAGGUUGGGUAACACUAACUGGAGGACCGAACCGACUAAUGUUGAAAAAUUAGCGGAUGACCUGUGGCUGGGGGUGAAAGGCCAAUCAAACCGGGAGAUAGCUGGUUCUCCCCGAAAGCUAUUUAGGUAGCGCCUCGUGAAUUCAUCUCCGGGGGUAGAGCACUGUUUCGGCUAGGGGGCCAUCCCGGCUUACCAACCCGAUGCAAACUGCGAAUACCGGAGAAUGUUAUCACGGGAGACACACGGCGGGUGCUAACGUCCGUCGUGAAGAGGGAAACAACCCAGACCGCCAGCUAAGGUCCCAAAGUCAUGGUUAAGUGGGAAACGAUGUGGGAAGGCCCAGACAGCCAGGAUGUUGGCUUAGAAGCAGCCAUCAUUUAAAGAAAGCGUAAUAGCUCACUGGUCGAGUCGGCCUGCGCGGAAGAUGUAACGGGGCUAAACCAUGCACCGAAGCUGCGGCAGCGA
rnacentral:rRNA from 1 species